UUUCCGUAGGUGAACCUGCGGAAGGAUCAUUACAGAGUUCAUGCCCUCACGGGUAGAUCUCCCACCCUUGAAUAUUUAUACCUUAGUUGCUUUGGCAGGCCGUGGAAACACCAUGGGCUCCGGCUUAUGCGUGCCUGCCAGAGGAAACAAACUCUGUUUUUAGUGAUGUCUGGGUACUAUAUAAUAGUUAAAACUUUCAACAACGGAUCUCUUGGUUCUG
rnacentral:misc_RNA from 1 species